UUGGGGCAAAAAUGUAAUUAUGUAAAAGUUUAGGGGCAAAAUUGUAAUUUUGAAAAAGUUAGAGUCGAGGGCUGUUUUGAUGAAUGUGAUUAUUAAAUAAGUUAAAUUUACUAUUUUAGAUCAAGAAGUACGAAACUCGAGGUUAGACAAAGGGAAGAAUAAAGUUGAAGACUAAGUUGGUGAAUUUGGCUAUAAUUGGUACUGAGGUAAGUUUACGGUAAAUAAAUGCAAUAUUUCAAUAUUUAUUAUUAAUGCUGUUAAUUUCCAGCAAUUAUGAAUUUAUUUUAUGAAUUUAUUUGAUGAUGAUCCAAGCAUGAAAUGAUAGAGAAUUAAAAUUUAAAAGUCCCGUUGAUACAUAAGGAUGGUACUGGAUACGAAUGUCAUGACAUUUGGGUAAAGAGAUCCCAUGUAAGACAAUGUCUGGGACAUGGCAUUGGCAUCCUUAAGAUCAUGAGAGGUCCCCUGUAAGACCAUGUCUGGGACAUGGCAUGGGCACCGAGACGAGAGGUCCCAUGUAAGACCAUGUCUGGGACAUGGCGUUGGCACCGAGAUGAGAGGUCCCCUAUAAGACCAUGUCUGGGACAUGGCAUGGGCACCAUCAUGAGAACAUCCCAUGUAAGACCAUGUCUGGGACAUGGCUUUGGCAUGUUAUUAUCAGAAGAGACCCGAGUAUCCUUAUUAUUCCAAUGUAGCUCAACGGGCUUGUAAACGAAUCAUGUUCAUGAAAGUUCAGUUUAAAGCAUAAAUGGCAAGCUCAGGUAAGUUGUAAGACUUAAGAACUUAUUAUACUAUCAAUUGAUGUUCAACGAUGCAGCAAGGAUUGAGUAAGUUAUGCACACAAGUAUUCUAAGUAAACAAGUAAGAGAACUAGUAUGAGAUUAACUAAAGAGUAAACUAGAGAUAUAGACAUUGAGUUUAAUUAUUUAAGUUAAAUAUUGUUAUUUAUUUGCUAGUAAACUUAUUAAGCUUUAUGCUUACUUCUUUUAUUUCUCUUUCUCUUAUAGUAUUGCAAAGCUACUUCAAGGAUCCUAAAGAAGUCGGAGAUCGUCCACACUAUCAACUACAACUGCUCGGUAUUUUAUAUCGAAACACGUUUGAGUUAUGGCAUGUAUAGGGAUUUAGUUAUUUUGUAUGUUUGUAAUGAUGAUUUUGCUAAUGAGUGAUGUGUAAGUAUUUGAUGAUGUAUGGUUAUUAAAAUGAUUAAGGAUGAAGGUGUUUGUUGUUAUGAAAGAUUAGGUGAUAAAUUAUGCAUGGAAAUCAUGAAAGGAUAAAAUUUUGCAAAGAAACAGAAUUCAGGCAGCACAGUGACGUGAAUUUGAAAAAUCACCCAAGAUAGUAUAAAAUGAAUUAGAGGGUGAAUGAUAUAUGGAAUUAAAUCUUGUUGAGUCUAUUUUCAUGGAAAAAUAACGGUGUAGAAAAAGGAAAUUUAUAUUUUAAGAUAUGUGAAUUUUAGUAAGAUAGGGUCAGAACUGUUUUUGGAGUCCCCUGUUCUGAGUUUAGAAAAUAAUUAAAAAUUGUACAAAAAUGGUUAUGAGUUGAAAUUUACAUGCUUAGAUUUCUUAAUGAGUCUAUUUUCUGUAGAAAGAAGUAAGAACUUCAUAUGAAAAUCCUACAGUGAGAAAACUUAUUUUUAGUGACUAGAGGUCAGGGCAGUCAGGUGGUGAAACAGGGGAUACUUUAACUAAUAAAAUGUACUAAUUUUCUGAACCAAAAAUUCUAAAAAUUUUAUGGUGAGUAGAUAUAUGAGUCUAGUUUCAGGGAAAAUUUACGGAAUUAAAUUUCGAGUUCUGUAGCUCAAGUUAUAAUUAAUUUAGUAACUACUGCGCGAUUGGACAGAUUUGCUGCGAAUAAUGAAAUAAAUUUUCAAACCUAGUUUUUAUGCUCCGAAUUGGUAAGAUAAGCUAAGUAAUGCCUCGUGCUCGACUCCGAAAAUGAUCUCGGGUAAGGGGUGUUACAUUUUAUUGGUAUCAGAGCAGGUUUAGUCGGUUCUCGGAAAUACUCAGUAAGAAUAAGAGUCUACCUAUACAUGCCAUACUUAUAUAUUUUGAUAGUGUGACGACUCCUGACGAUUUUAAAAUGUUUUCUUUUAUAGUUAUGGAUCCUGAACGAGCUAGUACAGAUGAAGUAGAGAGUAAUGCGCCUAUUCCCGCAGAAGGGACGAUGCCAUCAGAUGUUA
rnacentral:lncRNA from 1 species